CCUACGGGUGGCAGCAGUAGGGAAUAUUGCACAAUGGGGGAAACCCUGAUGCAGCGACGCCGCGUGGGUGAAGAAGUAAUUCGUUACGUAAAGCUCUAUCAGCAGGGAAGAAAUACUCACCUUCCGAUCAACAGGCGGUGGCUAAGUGAGAACCCCCGGCUACCUACAUGCCAGCAGCCCCGGUAAUACGUAGGGGGCAAGCGUUAUCCGGGUUUACUGGGCGGAAAGGGAGCGUAAACGGUGCGCCAAGUCAGAAGUGAAAUGCCGCAGCUUAACUACGGAACUGCAUUGGAAACUGGCGAUCUAGAGUGUGGGAGGGGUAAGGGGAAUUCUUGGUGUAGGGGUAAAAUGCGUAGAGAUUAGGAGGAACACUGGUGGCGAAGGCGGCUUACUGGACCGUAACUGACGUUGAGGCGCGAAAGCGUGGGGAGCAAACAGGAUUAGAUACCCUAGUAGUC
rnacentral:rRNA from 1 species